UACAGAGGGGGCAAGCGUUGUUCGGAAUUACUGGGCGUAAAGGGCGCGUAGGCGGCCUGUUAAGUCGAACGUGAAAUCCCCGGGCUCAACCCGGGAACUGCGUCCGAUACUGGCAGGCUUGAAUUCGGGAGAGGGAUGUGGAAUUCCAGGUGUAGCGGUGAAAUGCGUAGAUAUCUGGAGGAACACCGGUGGCGAAAGCGCUCUGCUAGGCCGCAACUGACACUGAGGGACGAAGCUAGG
rnacentral:rRNA from 1 species